GACGAACGCUGGCGGCGUGCUUAACACAUGCAAGUCGAACGGAAAGGCCCUGCUUUUGUGGGGUGCUCGAGUGGCGAACGGGUGAGUAACACGUGAGUAACCUGCCCUUGACUUUGGGAUAACUUCAGGAAACUGGGGCUAAUACCGGAUAGGAGCUCCUGCUGCAUGGUGGGGGUUGGAAAGUUUCGGCGGUUGGGGAUGGACUCGCGGCUUAUCAGCUUGUUGGUGGGGUAGUGGCUUACCAAGGCUUUGACGGGUAGCCGGCCUGGGAGGGUGACCGGCGACAUUGGGACUGCGAGACGGCCCAGACGCCAACGGGAGGCAGCAGGGGGGAAUAUGGCACAAUGGGCGGAAGCCUGAUGCAGCAACGCCGCGUGCGGGAUGACGGCCUUCGGGUUGUAAACCGCUUUCGCCGGUGACGAAGCGGGAGUGACGGUAAUGGGUAAAGAAGCACCGGCUAACUACGUG
rnacentral:rRNA from 1 species